AAGGAGAAUCCUUUGAGAAGAUCAAGCGAGCCUUUCGGCUCGCUUGAGGGAGGGGAGCGGCAGACGGGUGAGUAACGCGUGGGAAACUACCCUUUGGUACGGCACAACCCGGCGAAAGCUGAGCUAAUACAGUAUGUGUCCUCCGGGAGAAAGAUUUAUCGCCAAAGGAUGUGCCCGCGUCGGAUUAGCUAGUUGGUGGGUUAACGGCCCACCAAGGCGACGAUCCGUAGCUGGUCUGAGAGGAUGAUCAGCCACACUGGGACUGAGACACGGCCCAGACUCCUACGGGAGGCAGCAGUGGGGAAUAUUGGACAAUGGGGGCAACCCUGAUCCAGCCAUGCCGCGUGAGUGAUGAAGGCCUUAGGGUUGUAAAGCUCUUUCGCCCGCGAAGAUAAUGACUGUAGCGGGAGAAGAAGCCCCGGCUAACUUCGUGCCAGCCGCCGCCGUAACAC
rnacentral:rRNA from 1 species